AACGACGCUGGCGGCGUGGAUUAGGCAUGCAAGUCGAACGUGAGGGACCCUUCGGGGUUCUGAAAGUGGCAAACGGGUGAGUAACGCGUGGGAAACCUGCCCUUGUGUUGGGGAUAACACUCCUAACGGGGUGCUAAUACCGAAUGAGAUUUUCGGAUCGCAUGGUCUGGAGAUGAAAGGCGGCCUCUGCUUGCAUGCUGUCGCACAAGGAUGGUCCCGCGUCCCAUUAGCUAGUUGGUGGGGUAACGGCCUACCAAGGCAGUGAUGGGUAGCCGGCCUUAGCGGGUGUCCGGCCACACUGGGACUGAGAUACGGCCCAGACUCCUACGGGAGGCAGCAGUCGAGAGGCUUCUACAAUGGGGGAAACCCUGAUAGAGCGACGCCGCGUGGGUGAUGAAGGUCUUCGGAUCGUAAAGCCCUUUCAGCAGGGAAGAAUGAGGCUGGUGUAAACAGCGCCAGACUCGGGACGGUACCUGCAGAAGAAGCUCCGGCUAACUCCGUG
rnacentral:rRNA from 1 species